GAUGAACGCUGGCGGCGUGCCUAACACAUGCAAGUCGAGCGGAGAUACUUGGAGUACUUGUACGAAGAGGAUCUUAGCGGCGGACGGGUGAGUAACACGUGAGCAAUCUGCCUUUCACAGGGGAAUAACACUGGGAAACCAGUGCUAAUACCGCAUAACGUCUGAGACCGGCAUCGGUUUUAGACCAAAGGAGAAAUCCGGUGAAAGAUGAGCUCGCGUCCGAUUAGGUAGUUGGUGAGGUAACGGCCCACCAAGCCUACGAUCGGUAGCCGGACUGAGAGGUUGAACGGCCACAUUGGGACUGAGACACGGCCCAGACUCCUACGGGAGGCAGCAGUGGGGAAUAUUGGGCAAUGGGGGAAACCCUGACCCAGCAACGCCGCGUGAAGGAUGAAGGCUUUCGGGUUGUAAACUUCUUUGAUCAGGGACGAAAAAAAUGACGGUACCUGAGGAACAAGCCACGGCUAACUACGUG
rnacentral:rRNA from 1 species